CAUUGUGCGCCGUUGCGAUGCCAGUUGAGAAAUACAAUCGAAUGUGCGUGCAUUGCGAAACGGGAAGACGAAACGAAACGAAAGACGUGCCAAAGAGGAAUCUCAAUAGAGAUGAAAUUGUGUAGUGAAAAUUUGUGUAAUUAAGACAACAUCGAAAAGCUAAUGAUAAAUUACAAGGAUGCGACCGAAAAAUUCCUGGAAAUGCGCAACUAAUUUGGCAACAAAACUAAUUAAUGAAAUUGUUUAAGGCAACUGAUGAAGCAGAGCACAAACAAGAUGAUGAUGAUGGAGAUGAUGAUGCAGUUACAAAUGCAGCAGCAGCGUUAUAAAUAACACAAGGACUUGUAGAAGGGCGACCGAGAGGACAAA